CAGACCUGAGUGUGGCAGGACCACCCGCUAAACUUAAGCAUAUUACUCAGCGGAGGAAAAGAAAACAACCGUGAUUCUCUCAGUCAGCGGCGAGCGAAGAGGGAACGAACUCGUUGCCGAAUCGGGUCUGAAUGGCCUCGAGUUGUGGCAUGACGUGCCGCCUUGGGGGCUGGUGCGGGCGUGGCUGAAUUCAAUCGAAAAGCAAACCCGUUGCUGAAUCUACAACCCUUCAUGUGAGUAUUGAGCCAAAGAAGGUGUCAGCCCAUUUAUUCUAUGCCACCCACCCGCGCCUCCUCAGGCGGCCCAAGAGAGUAGCACUGUUUGGGAAUGCAGUGUCAAGCCGGCAGGUAUUUGUCUGCCAAGGUUAAAUACAGAGUAGGAAGACCGAUAGCGAACAAGUAGCGUGAGCGAAAGUUUGAAAAGCACUUUGGAAAGAGAGUGACAUAGAACCUGAAAUCGUGACAACGGCAAUGGAAGUACCUCCAUUUCGACGGCCAGACCCAGCCGCGCGUGUGCAGGCGCGUAUUACGGGCUCCGGGGGGUCAAGCAGCUGUGAGCAGCGGUAACGCACAUCCGGCUGCAACCCUGCACCGACGAACAGCCUUGAGACCAGUUCGGCCGAACCGGCCUGGGUCAGGAUAAAAGGUUCACCACACAGCGCUUUCAGGCUGACACUUGGCUGCGCGCCCAAGUGAUGCCCCAAGGGCAGCAGCGCGACCAGUUGGUCCUCAAUCAACGGGAACGUAUCGAAGCGCUCUUCAGGCAGCACCACAAACCCAACGUCGACGCGCCGCUCUUCCAGCCACUGCGUCACCUGGCGAUCGGGGCCUUCGUCGACAUGCACCUCGAUGCCCGGAUGCUGCUCGCGAAAAUGCUGCAGGAUCGCGGGCAACAAG
rnacentral:ncRNA from 1 species